rnacentral:rRNA from 1 species
UCUAACAUGUGCGCGAGUCAUUGGGACUUAUUUUAAGCCUAAAGGCGCAAUGAAAGUGAAGGUCGUCCCUAGCGUCGACCGAGGGAGGAUGGCUCGCGUUACGAUGCGAGCCCGCACUCCCGGGGCGUCUCGUGCUCAUUGCGAGCAGAGGCGCACCCAGAGCGUACACGUUGGGACCCGAAAGAUGGUGAACUAUGCCUGGUCAGGACGAAGUCAGGGGAAACCCUGAUGGAGGUCCGUAGCGAUUCUGACGUGCAAAUCGAUCGUCGGAACUGGGUAUAGGGGCGAAAGACUAAUCGAACCAUCUAGUAGCUGGUUCCCUCCGAAGUUUCCCUCAGGAUAGCUGGCACUCGCUUGAGCGAGUCUCAUCUGGUAAAGCGAAUGAUUAGAGGCCUUGGGGCCGAAACGACCUCAACCUAUUCUCAAACUUUAAAUGGGUGAGAUCUCUGGCUUGCUUGAACGUUGAAGCCACGAGAUUAAUUUUUGCAAUGGAUCAGAGUGCCAAGUGGGCCAAUUUUGG